AACCUUAUGGACCUGCGGGCGUAUACCUGCGGAAGGAUCAUUACCGAGUGAGGGCCCUCCGGGUCCAACCUCCCACCCGUGUUUAACGAACCUUGUUGCUUCGGCGGGCCCGCCUCACGGCCGCCGGGGGGCACCCCGCCCCCGGGCCCGCGCCCGCCGAAGACACCUGUGAACGCUGUCUGAAGUUGCAGUCUGAGACACUAGCUCAAUCAGUUAAAACUUUUAACAAUGGAUCUCAGA
rnacentral:misc_RNA from 1 species